UUGAUCCAUGGCUCAGAUUGAACGCUGGCGGCAGGCCUAACACAUGCAAGUCGAGCGGAUGACAGGAGCUUGCUCCUGAAUUCAGCGGCGGACGGGUGAGUAAUGCCUAGGAAUCUGCCUGGUAGUGGGGGACAACGUUUCGAAAGGAACGCUAAUACCGCAUACGUCCUACGGGAGAAAGCAGGGGACCUUCGGGCCUUGCGCUAUCAGAUGAGCCUAGGUCGGAUUAGCUAGUUGGUGAGGUAAUGGCUCACCAAGGCGACGAUCCGUAACUGGUCUGAGAGGAUGAUCAGUCACACUGGAACUGAGACACGGUCCAGACUCCUACGGGAGGCAGCAGUGGGGAAUAUUGGACAAUGGGCGAAAGCCUGAUCCAGCCAUGCCGCGUGUGUGAAGAAGGUCUUCGGAUUGUAAAGCACUUUAAGUUGGGAGGAAGGGCAGUAACUUAAUACGUUGCUGUCUUGACGUUACCGACAGAAUAAGCACCGGCAA
rnacentral:rRNA from 1 species